rnacentral:lncRNA from 1 species
GACGCCUGACACAAGCAGGUACUAACACAUUAUCUCCCACUGAAAUGUAACAUUGAGGUUGAGAGAUUGUGGUCUCCUGAGUGGAGUCACGGGGCAGCCAUCUUCCAUUAUGUAUCCUGGAAAACAAAACAGCUGGUCUGCUAGAAGACAUGAUCAGACCACGCAGUGAGAGACAGACACACAAGGCAGCCAUCUGGGUUCCUAACAGUUCUCUGGUUCCCAGUUCCAUCCCAUCUGAUGCCUAAUGCCAUUUCCCACUUUGGAAUAUCAUGAGAUGACUGUGUAUUCGUCUACAAAGGAACUGAGGCACCAAGAGGUUAUGGAAUUUAACCAAGGUCACACAAUCAGAGUGGAGGAGCUGGGAUUUGAACUCAAGCAGGCUAGUUCCAGAGUCCAUGCUCUUAUCACUACGCUUCCUCUGAAGUCAUACUUACAGGAAAAGAGCAACUGGCAAUCCGAUUUGUGUGAGAGAAUGGAAUAUGUCG